AUUCCCUUAGUAGCGGCGAGCGAAACGGGAAGAGCCCAAACCAACAAGCUUGCUUGUUGGGGUUGUAGGACACUCUAUACGGAGUUACAAAGGACGACAUUAGACGAAUCAUCUGGAAAGAUGAAUCAAAGAAGGUAAUAAUCCUGUAGUCGAAAAUGUUGUCUCUCUUGAGUGGAUCCUGAGUACGACGGAGCACGUGAAAUUCCGUCGGAAUCUGGGAGGACCAUCUCCUAAGGCUAAAUACUCUCUAGUGACCGAUAGUGAACCAGUACCGUGAGGGAAAGGUGAAAAGCACCCCGGAAGGGGAGUGAAAUAGAACCUGAAACCGUGUGCUUACAAGUAGUCAGAGCCCGUUAAUGGGUGAUGGCGUGCCUUUUGUAGAAUGAACCGGCGAGUUACGAUUUGAUGCAAGGUUAAGCAGUAAAUGUGGAGCCGUAGCGAAAGCGAGUCUGAAUAGGGCGUUUAGUAUUUGGUCGUAGACCCGAAACCAGGUGAUCUACCCUUGGUCAGGUUGAAGUUCAGGUAACACUGAAUGGAGGACCGAACCGACUUACGUUGAAAAGUGAGCGGAUGAACUGAGGGUAGCGGAGAAAUUCCAAUCGAACCUGGAGAUAGCUGGUUCUCUCCGAAAUAGCUUUAGGGCUAGCCUCAAGUGAUGAUUAUUGGAGGUAGAGCACUGUUUGGACGAGGGGCCCCUCUCGGGUUACCGAAUUCAGACAAACUCCGAAUGCCAAUUAAUUUAACUUGGGAGUCAGAACAUGGGUGAUAAGGUCCGUGUUCGAAAGGGAAACAGCCCAGACCACCAGCUAAGGUCCCAAAAUAUAUGUUAAGUGGAAAAGGAUGUGGCGUUGCCCAGACAACUAGGAUGUUGGCUUAGAAGCAGCCAUCAUUUAAAGAGUGCGUAAUAGCUCACUAGUCGAGUGACACUGCGCCGAAAAUGUACCGGGGCUAAACAUAUUACCGAAGCUGUGGAUUGUCCUUUGGACAAUGGUAGGAGAGCGUUCUAAGGGCGUUGAAGCAUGAUCGUAAGGACAUGUGGAGCGCUUAGAAGUGAGAAUGCCGGUGUGAGUAGCGAAAGACGGGUGAGAAUCCCGUCCACCGAUUGACUAAGGUUUCCAGAGGAAGGCUCGUCCGCUCUGGGUUAGUCGGGUCCUAAGCUGAGGCCGACAGGCGUAGGCGAUGGAUAACAGGUUGAUAUUCCUGUACCACCUAUAAUCGUUUUAAUCGAUGGGGGGACGCAGUAGGAUAGGCGAAGCGUGCGAUUGGAUUGCACGUCUAAGCAGUAAGGCUGAGUAUUAGGCAAAUCCGGUACUCGUUAAGGCUGAGCUGUGAUGGGGAGAAGACAUUGUGUCUUCGAGUCGUUGAUUUCACACUGCCGAGAAAAGCCUCUAGAUAGAAAAUAGGUGCCCGUACCGCAAACCGACACAGGUAGUCAAGAUGAGAAUUCUAAGGUGAGCGAGCGAACUCUCGUUAAGGAACUCGGCAAAAUGACCCCGUAACUUCGGGAGAAGGGGUGCUCUUUAGGGUUAACGCCCAGAAGAGCCGCAGUGAAUAGGCCCAAGCGACUGUUUAUCAAAAACACAGGUCUCUGCUAAACCGUAAGGUGAUGUAUAGGGGCUGACGCCUGCCCGGUGCUGGAAGGUUAAGAGGAGUGGUUAGCUUCUGCGAAGCUACGAAUCGAAGCCCCAGUAAACGGCGGCCGUAACUAUAACGGUCCUAAGGUAGCGAAAUUCCUUGUCGGGUAAGUUCCGACCCGCACGAAAGGCGUAACGAUUUGGGCACUGUCUCAACGAGAGACUCGGUGAAAUCAUAGUACCUGUGAAGAUGCAGGUUACCCGCGACAGGACGGAAAGACCCCGUGGAGCUUUACUGUAGCCUGAUAUUGAAAUUCGGCACAGCUUGUACAGGAUAGGUAGGAGCCUUUGAAACGUGAGCGCUAGCUUACGUGGAGGCGCUGGUGGGAUACUACCCUAGCUGUGUUGGCUUUCUAACCCGCACCACUUAUCGUGGUGGGAGACAGUGUCAGGCGGGCAGUUUGACUGGGGCGGUCGCCUCCUAAAAGGUAACGGAGGCGCUCAAAGGUUCCCUCAGAAUGGUUGGAAAUCAUUCAUAGAGUGUAAAGGCAUAAGGGAGCUUGACUGCGAGACCUACAAGUCGAGCAGGGUCGAAAGACGGACUUAGUGAUCCGGUGGUUCCGCAUGGAAGGGCCAUCGCUCAACGGAUAAAAGCUACCCCGGGGAUAACAGGCUUAUCUCCCCCAAGAGUUCACAUCGACGGGGAGGUUUGGCACCUCGAUGUCGGCUCAUCGCAUCCUGGGGCUGUAGUCGGUCCCAAGGGUUGGGCUGUUCGCCCAUUAAAGCGGUACGCGAGCUGGGUUCAGAACGUCGUGAGACAGUUCGGUCCCUAUCCGUCGUGGGCGUAGGAAAUUUGAGAGGAGCUGUCCUUAGUACGAGAGGACCGGGAUGGACAUACCUCUGGUGUACCAGUUGUCGUGCCAACGGCAUAGCUGGGUAGCUAUGUGUGGACGGGAUAAGUGCUGAAAGCAUCUAAGCAUGAAGCCCCCCUCAAGAUGAGAUUUCCCAACUUCGGUUAUAAGAUCCCUCAAAGAUGAUGAGGUUAAUAGGUUCGAGGUGGAAGCAUGGUGACAUGUGGAGCUGACGAAUACUAAUCGAUCGAAGACUUAAUCAA
rnacentral:rRNA from 1 species